rnacentral:misc_RNA from 1 species
CUAUUACUUCAAAAAGGUGUCAACAGAGACCAUUCAAUCUUCAUUAAAAGAUACAUGUACCAAAAGGCAAAAGAGAGGACAAAAUAAUUUCUAGUCAUAAGCAUCAACUGCCAUCAACAACAACAUAAAAAAACAAAUAAUUUACAGAACAAUGGCUAAUGAUAUUUCCAAGGUUUCAUUUUCUUUGCAUAAUUCUAACAGGACUUGUUUCAUACAACCUGGAGAGAAAGGCAUUACAAGACCACUAACCUAUUGCAGUUCAAAAAAGAAAAAAAGACCACUAACCUAUUUAUUUUUGUCAAGUAUAAGCAACGGAGACAAGGUGAGGGACUUUUUCAUCAUCAAAGGGCAAGCUGAUAUACUCUCUAGCAAACUCCUCAACAAUUUCCAAAGCAAGCUCCCCAUGUACAGCCUUGCAA